UACCGAGGGUGCGAGCGUUAAUCGGAAUUACUGGGCGUAAAGCGAGCGUAGUCGGUUAUUUAAGUCGGGUGUGAAAUCCCCGGGCUCAACCUGGGAAUUGCAUUCGAUACUGGAUAGCUAGAGUUCGGCAGAGGGAAGCGGAAUUUCCGGUGUAGCGGUGAAAUGCGUAGAUAUCGGAAGGAACAUCAGUGGCGAAAGCGGCUUCCUGGACCAGAACUGAUGAUCAGGCUCGAAAGCGUGGGGAGCAAACAGG
rnacentral:rRNA from 1 species